rnacentral:tRNA from 1 species
CCUCCAAAAAUAACUUCUCCGGUCGGGGAACGCAUUAGAUAUUUACCUAAACCUGUAGGUCCUUGAGCAGAUCCCACGUUCGCCCCAAGACGU